rnacentral:rRNA from 1 species
GACGAACGCUAGCGGCAGGCUUAACACAUGCAAGUCGAGGGGUAUAGUUCUUCGGAGCUAGAGACCGGCGCACGGGUGCGUAACGCGUAUGCAAUCUACCUUUCACAGAGGGAUAGCCCAGAGAAAUUUGGAUUAAUACCUCAUAGUAUUAUAGAAUGGCAUCAUUUUAUAAUUAAAGUCACAACGGUGAAAGAUGAGCA